rnacentral:rRNA from 1 species
CAAUAGCGUAUAUUAAAGUUGUUGCAGUUAAAAAGCUCGUAGUUGGAUUUCGGGACGGGCCAGUUGGUCCGCCGCAAGGUGUGUUACUGACUGGUCUGUUCUUCUUCGCAAAGACUGCGUGUGCUCUUCGUUGAGUGUGCGUAGGAUUUACGACGUUUACUUUGAAAAAAUUAGAGUGUUCAAAGCAGGCUAUCGCUUGAAUACAUGAGCAUGGAAUAAUGGAAUAGGACUUUGGUCCUAUUUUGUUGGUUUCUAGGACCGAAGUAAUGAUUAAGAGGUACAAUUGGGGGCAUCCGUAUUUCGUUGUCAGAGGUGAAAUUCUUGGAUUUACGAAAGACGAACAACUGCGAAAGCACUUGCCAAGAGUGUUUUCAUUAA